rnacentral:rRNA from 1 species
UACGGAGGGUGCGAGCGUUGUCCGGAAUCAUUGGGCGUAAAGGGCGCGUAGGUGGCCCGGUCAGUCUUUGGUGAAAGCGCGGGGCUCAACCCUGCGUCGGCCAGGGAUACUGCCGCGGCUCGAGCACUGUAGAGGCAGGCGGAAUUCCGGGUGUAGCGGUGGAAUGCGUAGAGAUCCGGAAGAACACCGGUGGCGAAGGCGGCCUGCUGGGCAGUUGCUGACACUGAAGCGCGACAGCGUGGGGAGCAAACAGG